CCCUUAGAUGUCCUGGGCCGCACGCGCGCUACACUGAACGGAUCAGCGCGUUUUCCCUGCCCGAGAGGGACGGGUAACCUGCUGAACCCCGUUCGUGGUAGGGAUCGGGGCUUGCAAUUAUUCCCCGUGAACCAGGAAUGCCCAGUAAGUGCAAGUCAUAAGCUUGCGUUGAUUACGUCCCUGCCCUUUGUACACACCGCCCGUCGCUACUACCGAUUGAACGUUUUAGUGAGGUACUCGGACUGAGCCUCAGAAGAUUCACGUCUUUUGUGCUGCUCGGGAAGAUUCCCAAACUUGAGCGUUUAGAGGAAGUAAAAGUCGUAACA
rnacentral:rRNA from 1 species